rnacentral:misc_RNA from 1 species
CCAUUCUCUCUGCUCUA